CAUUUUCUUUGCCAGUGGAAAUAGCCUUUUCACCCACUCUGAGGGGAUUAAUUCUGCAUUGCCUGAGGAACCAGUAGUGGCUUCCCCUGAGGAUAUCACACUGGUCCAUUAUGUUGAUUUGGCUGAGGGAACAAGAAGUGGCAAUGACUCUAGACUUAUUGGUAUGCUAAGUGGUGGUGAAGCUUCCAAUCUAGCCCAUACAUUACAGUGGGCCACGUGACUGAACUAAAGGAAAUUUUACUAGCACAAAAAAUUGUGAGUUUUAUCCCUCUUGGGGAGGAGGCCUCCCAGGGAUCCUAGCCUGCUCAUAGAAAACCAACUGCACACAUUUCACAGGCUCUCUGGUGAAGGGAUGCUCACUACAGGCAUAUGUUGCAGAAUGUCACUUCGUCCACCUCUCAGCUAUCAGAAUAAUGGGAAUGCCAUUCAAUUCAGCAAGGGCACAGCUACUAGAAGGCAAGACUGUAAGACCUUCCUCAGAGCCAUCUACUGAUUGGAGCACCUUCGAUGCUGAGAACCUUGUUUUAAAAAGCUGCCAAGAAGUCUGGAUGAUUUUAUGGAAUGCAAAAAGGGAGGAUUUCAGCAGCACACAACUCCUAUUCCUCAAAAAGCCAUUAUGGAAGAAUUACCACACUCCACAGAGUAUCAGCUUUUUACCGUGACAACAUCUCCCCAG